ensembl:lncRNA
GCAUCAGUUACAGAAAGUGUCUGUCGGGACACGUGGUGUCCCUUCAUGAAAGCAGAGCGUGACGGCUGCAAAGUGAUUCCGGGGCAGCCGAUAAUUUCGCUGCAGACGACAAAAAACUUUCCUCUGAAGCUAUUGUGACAAGAUGGGACAAAAGGAAGGGCAUGACCUGCAGCUGUGCACACAGGACAACACUGCAGGACUCUGGUUGCUCAACCGCCUCAAAAAAGAUGUGAAGAAUUCUGACUGGCUGACAAAAUGCCCUUGAUACAAAUAGCAGACUGUAAAUCAGUCAACAUUUUGUCUAUGCUUGUUAGUGCUUGCUGCUGGUUAAUGCUUUCUGUUAGUGUGGAGGGUCAUUUUAUGGAUAAGAGUUGAAACGGAGUGGAAACAACGGUUCUGAUAGGAAGUUAUAGAGAAUUCCUUAAUAUUUCUAUUAGAAUGAUACUUCACUGAAAGCUGCUAAUAGAGCUGUGAGGGAGAAGAAAAGGUUUACUAACAUAGACAAAUCAAACACUAUAUACAGUCAGUAGUCUGAAGAAUAAAUGUGACAAAUGCCAUUUCCAACUCUAAUAUUUGAGCAACUAUUUUCAUUUUCUGUGUAAAACGCACCAAAAAAAAACCACAUUGUUUUCAUGACAGUAUAUAAAAAUGAAUGCUUGAUUGCAAAAAUGCUUAUUAUUUCUAAGACUGAUUAGUUGUAAAUUACCCUAAAUGAAAUAGCUGGAAAGGCGUGUCACACUGUAUGGAGAAAAACAUGAUCUCAUUUUCUGUUCAUAAACUGAGUCUUUCACUUUUUGCACAGAAUUUCGGAGGCAGGAAAUUAAAAAAGCAGCUGUUUUAUUAAGAUAAGCCCCAGUUGUCUUGCAUGCGUGUAUCGACUCCUGCAUGUUAAUGGAAUCAUGGCUUCUCACCAACAUUCUGUUUAUUUGUUUUUUAACCCCGUCAGGUCAAUAAAUUGUUCUGAUCAUUCAGUGUCUAAAUGAGUUAUUCAUUCACUAAUGGGGUUGCCCAACAUGUUGGCUUGAUAUGUUGUGUCUCUCCCUGAGACGUGUUGUGUUUAGCAGCGGAGCUCAUCAUUUGUCUCGCCGUCUCCACACACUGUGUUCAUUAUGAUGAGAAUAGGAUAAAAUCAGCAGGUAGACAUUAGCAUUUGCUGCAGUUGUUGGCAAUCCUGUUAAAAACCAACGUGGCAGAACAGACAAAACUCCUUCAAGCAUUGUAUGAGCUGUACUGUAUUUUAUGACACAGAUAUGUCAGCAGUUGAAUGCUUGUAUGUAUAGUACACAGUUUAUUUAAAAAAAUGUAACCUCAUUCAUGUCUGAAAUCUAAACAUAUAUCGCAACCUUUAUUGGUAACACAACCCCUCCUGAAGAAAUAUAAAAUAUCCCUUUAAAGCUAAAUUACUUUGCAUUCUCUUAUGAUGCUGUUAUGAGGAAAACUAAUUCAGUGUGCUUCCUUUUAUUUAAGAUGUAACCAGCGGUUAUGAUUCAACACAAUUAUUUUCUCAUUAAAGGGGUUUACUUUUUGGUUUAUAAAUGACUGGAAACUGUCAUCAAAUGUCAUAAAUACUCACAUUAUUAUAUUACAACAUUAUCAAAUAAGGUAAAGAAAUACUGAAAGUCUGAAGAUUAAAAUUGGAAAGACAUUAAACGGUAUGAUCAUCAAAUGAAUUGCCGUAAUCUUUUGAGCUCUUACAUUUUACAUAAAUGUAUAAUUUAACUAGAAAAUGCAUUUCCUGCUGAAAAUGCGUUGGAAUGCAAAAAGCUGAAAGCUGAAAUGAAUAUUUAAAAAUAGCUGAAAAUACAGAAAGUUGAAGGGAAUUUGAAUACAUCUACUGAAAUUACAGAUAUUAGAAAAGAUGAAAUUAAUUUGAAAUUGCUGAAAAUACAGAAAUGGGAGAAGAUGAAAGGAAUUUCAAUAGAUUUACUGAAAAAGUAGAAAUGAAAACAGCUGAAAUGAAUGUGAGAUAUUGCAAAAUAAAUACCGAAAUGAAUAUUAAAACCUUGCUGUUAAUACAGUCAUUAGAAAAGCUGAAAUUAUUUUAAAGAAAUGCUGAAAAUACAGGAAGUGUGGAAGAUGAAUUUCAAUAGAUUUUCUAUAAAAUACAGAAGUUGCAGGAGCUUAAAUGAAU